rnacentral:rRNA from 1 species
UACGUAGGGGGCAAGCGUUGUCCGGAAUUACUGGGCGUAAAGCGCACGCAGGCGGUUCGCCAAGUUUGGAGUGACAGUUGUCGGCUCAACCGACAAAGGACUUCAAAAACUGGUGAACUUGAGGACGAGAGAGGAACAUGGAACUCCAGGUGUAGUAGUGAAAUGCGUAGAUAUCUGGAAGAACACCAAUGGCGAAGGCAAUGUUCUGGCUCGUUUCUGACGCUCAGGUGCGAAAGCCAGGGGAGCGAACGGG